CUUUCAACGGCCGCGGUAUCCUAACCGUGCAAAGGUAGCACAAUCACUUGUCUUCUAAAUAAAGACUAGUAUGAACGGCCACAUGAGGGCCCAACUGUCCCUUGUAGUAAAUCAAUGAACCUGCUCUUCCAGUCCAAAAGCUGGAAUUAACCCAUAAGACGAGAAGACCCUGUGGAGCUUUAGCUACAUCAUUAUAUCAAAAUAAUAAAAGCUUUAGUUGGGGCAACUGCGGAACAAAACAAAACCUCCAUGCCCGGAGCCAGCCGAACAAGGCCCACUAGCCAAAUACAACCCACCAACUGACCCAGUCAUACUGACUAGUGAACCAAGUUACCCCAGGGAUAACAGCGCCAUCCUCUUUAAGAGCUCCUAUCGUCAAGAGGGUUUACGACCUCGAUGUUGGAUCAGGGCCCCCAGGUGGCGCAGCCGCUACCAAUGGUUCGUUUGUUCAACGACUAACGCCCUACGUGAUCUGAGUUCAGACCGGA
rnacentral:rRNA from 1 species